rnacentral:lncRNA from 1 species
AAAAAGUUAACAUUUUAAAAUUAGCAUUAUGUUGUCUACACGGCUAUGAGUAUUAUCCAAUUCGAUAAAAUAAAUUAUUUGUUGUUGUCGUAACUUAAAAUGCGAAAAACAACCGGCGAAAGAAAAAGAAACAGAAGAGUCGCUACCGUUUGUUAUUUAUCCCAAAGGAGGGAAAGGAAACGAUCGAAGAAAACCUGAAGAAAAAGGAAAAGGCAAGGUCUCGCAACCAAAUCUUGGGUUCGGGAGUCGAUUAUGCGAAGGGAAUGUAUUAG